rnacentral:rRNA from 1 species
AGGCGUCGACCGGCGCACGGGUGAGUAACGCGUAUCCAACCUGCCCACCACUUGGGGAUAACCUUGCGAAAGUAAGACUAAUACCCAAUGACGUCUCUAGAAGACAUCUGAAGGAGAUUAAAGAUUUAUCGGUGAUGGAUGGGGAUGCGUCUGAUUAGCUUGUUGGCGGGGUAACGGCCCACCAAGGCGACGAUCAGUAGGGGUUCUGAGAGGAAGGUCCCCCACAUUGGAACUGAGACACGGUCCAAACUCCUACGGGAGGCAGCAGUGAGGAAUAUUGGUCAAUGGGCGAGAGCCUGAACCAGCCAAGUAGCGUGCAGGAUGACGGCCCUAUGGGUUGUAAACUGCUUUUAUAAGGGAAUAAAGUGAGUCUCGUGAGACUUUUUGCAUGUACCUUAUGAAUAAGGACCGGCUAAUUCCGUGCCAGCAGCCGCGGUAAUACGGAAGGUCCGGGCGUUAUCCGGAUUUAUUGGGUUUAAAGGGAGCGUAGGCCGGAGAUUAAGCGUGUUGUGAAAUGUAGACGCUCAACGUCUGCACUGCAGCGCGAACUGGUUUCCUUGAGUACGCACAAAGUGGGCGGAAUUCGUGGUGUAGCGGUGAAAUGCUUAGAUAUCACGAAGAACUCCGAUUGCGAAGGCAGCUCACUGGAGCGCAACUGACGCUGAAGCUCGAAAGUGCGGGUAUCGAACAGGAUUAGAUACCCUGGUAGUCCGCACGGUAAACGAUGGAUGCCCGCUGUUGGUCUGAACGGGUCAGCGGUCAAGCGAAAGCAUUAAGCAUCCCACCUGGGGAGUA